GGGCAGGGUGAGUCGACCCCUAAGGCGAGGCCGAAAGGCGUAGUCGAUGGGAAACGGGUUAAUAUUCCCGUACUUGGUGUUACUGCGAAGGGGGGACGGAGAAGGCUAUGUUGGCCGGGCGACGGUUGUCCCGGUUUAAGCGUGUAGGUGUGUGUUCCAGGUAAAUCCGGUUCACUUUAACACUGAGGCGUGACGACGAGGCACUACGGUGCUGAAGCAACAAAUGCCCUGCUUCCAGGAAAAGCCUCUAAGCAUCAGGUAACAUCAAAUCGUACCCCAAACCGACACAGGUGGUCAGGUAGAGAAUACCAAGGCGCUUGAGAGAACUCGGGUGAAGGAACUAGGCAAAAUGGUGCCGUAACUUCGGGAGAAGGCACGCUGACACGUAGGUGAAGUGAUUUACUCAUGGAGCUGAAGUCAGUCGAAGAUACCAGCUGGCUGCAACUGUUUAUUAAAAACACAGCACUGUGCAAACACGAAAGUGGACGUAUACGGUGUGACGCCUGCCCGGUGCCGGAAGGUUAAUUGAUGGGGUCAGCGCAAGCGAAGCUCCUGAUCGAAGCCCCGGUAAACGGCGGCCGUAACUAUAACGGUCCUAAGGUAGCGAAAUUCCUUGUCGGGUAAGUUCCGACCUGCACGAAUGGCGUAAUGAUGGCCAGGCUGUCUCCACCCGAGACUCAGUGAAAUUGAACUCGCUGUGAAGAUGCAGUGUACCCGCGGCAAGACGGAAAGACCCCGUGAACCUUUACUAUAGCUUGACACUGAACAUUGAGCCUUGAUGUGUAGGAUAGGUGGGAGGCUUUGAAGCGUGGACGCCAGUCUGCGUGGAGCCGACCUUGAAAUACCACCCUUUAAUGUUUGAUGUUCUAACGUGGACCCGUGAUCCGGGUUGCGGACAGUGUCUGGUGGGUAGUUUGACUGGGGCGGUCUCCUCCUAAAGAGUAACGGAGGAGCACGAAGGUUGGCUAAUCCUGGUCGGACAUCAGGAGGUUAGUGCAAUGGCAUAAGCCAGCUUGACUGCGAGCGUGACGGCGCGAGCAGGUGCGAAAGCAGGUCAUAGUGAUCCGGUGGUUCUGAAUGGAAGGGCCAUCGCUCAACGGAUAAAAGGUACUCCGGGGAUAACAGGCUGAUACCGCCCAAGAGUUCAUAUCGACGGCGGUGUUUGGCACCUCGAUGUCGGCUCAUCACAUCCUGGGGCUGAAGUAGGUCCCAAGGGUAUGGCUGUUCGCCAUUUAAAGUGGUACGCGAGCUGGGUUUAGAACGUCGUGAGACAGUUCGGUCCCUAUCUGCCGUGGGCGCUGGAGAACUGAGGGGGGCUGCUCCUAGUACGAGAGGACCGGAGUGGACGCAUCACUGGUGUUCGGGUUGUCAUGCCAAUGGCACUGCCCGGUAGCUAAAUGCGGAAGAGAUAAGUGCUGAAAGCAUCUAAGCACGAAACUUGCCCCGAG
rnacentral:rRNA from 1 species